CCUACGGGUGGCAGCAGUGGGGAAUAUUGCACAAUGGGGGAAACCCUGAUGCAGCGACGCCGCGUGAGCGAAGAAGUAUUUCGGUAUGUAAAGCUCUAUCAGCAGGGAAGAAAAUGACGGUACCUGAGUAAGAAGCUCCGGCUAAAUACGUGCCAGCAGCCGCGGUAAUACGUAUGGCGCAAGCGUUAUCCGGAUUUACUGGGCGUAAGGGGAGCGUAGGCGGCCUGCCAAGUCUGAUGUGAAAUACCGGGGCUCAACCCCGGGGCUGCAUUGGAAACUGGCAGGCUGGAGUGCAGACGAGGCAGGCGGAAUUCCUGGUGUAGCGGUGAAAUGCGUAGAUAUUAGGAGGAACACCGGUGGCGAGGGCGGCCUGCUGGACGGUGACUGACGCUGAGGCUCGAAAGCGUGGGGAGCAAACAGGAUUAGUACCCCAGUAGUC
rnacentral:rRNA from 1 species